rnacentral:tRNA from 2 species
CGCGGGGUGGAGCAGCCUGGUAGCUCGUCGGGCUCAUAACCCGAAGGUCGCAGGUUCAAAUCCUGCCCCCGCUA